AACGAACGCUGGCGGCAUGCCUAACACAUGCAAGUCGAACGAGACCUUCGGGUCUAGUGGCGCACGGGUGCGUAACGCGUGGGAAUCUGCCCUUGGGUUCGGAAUAACAGUUGGAAACGACUGCUAAUACCGGAUGAUGACGUAAGUCCAAAGAUUUAUCGCCCAAGGAUGAGCCCGCGUAGGAUUAGCUAGUUGGUGAGGUAAAGGCUCACCAAGGCGACGAUCCUUAGCUGGUCUGAGAGGAUGAUCAGCCACACUGGGACUGAGACACGGCCCAGACUCCUACGGGAGGCAGCAGUGGGGAAUAUUGGACAAUGGGCGAAAGCCUGAUCCAGCAAUGCCGCGUGAGUGAUGAAGGCCUUAGGGUUGUAAAGCUCUUUUACCCGGGAUGAUAAUGACAGUAACGGGAGAAUAAGCUCCGGCUAACUCCGUG
rnacentral:rRNA from 1 species